rnacentral:rRNA from 1 species
CAAUAGCGUAUAUUAAAGUUGUUGCAGUUAAAAAGCUCGUAGUUGGAUUUCAGAGUGAGCUCGUCCGGUCGGCCUAAAUGGUCUGAACUGGUUGACUCUCUCUUGCUUGUGGAUCCCGCCCGGAGUUAACUCUUCGGAUGUGGACUUCACAUCGUUUACCUUGAAAAAAUUAGAGUGUUCAAAGCAGGCGUAUGCUUGAAUAUAUUAGCAUGGAAUAAUGGAAUAGGACCCUGGUUCUAUUUUGUUGGUUUUGAGGACCAGAGUAAUGAUUAAUAGGGAUAGUUGGGGGUGCUAGUAUUCAGCGGCCAGAGGUGAAAUUCUUGGAUUCGCUGAAGACUAACUUAUGCGAAAGCAUUCACCAAGGAUGUCUUCUUUAAUCAAGAACGAAAGUUGGGGAGUCGAAGAUGAUUAGAUACCGU